rfam:Puccinia graminis f. sp. tritici CRL 75-36-700-3 supercont2.23 genomic scaffold, whole genome shotgun sequence.
GCAUCUGUAGCCUAGUUGGUAAAGGAAGCACUCUUGUAUGUGACUCAGCAUUGCUGAGGUUGUGAGUUCAAAUCUCACCAGGCACA